rnacentral:rRNA from 1 species
UUUAGUAGCGGCGAGUGAAGCGGCAAAAGCUCAAAUUUGAAUCUGGCGCCUUCGGUGUCCGCAGCUUGUAAUUUGAAGAUUGUAACCUUGGGGUUGGCUCUUGUCUAUGUUUCUUGGAACAGGACGUCACAGAGGGUGAGAAUCCCGUGCGAUGAGAUGCCCAAUUCUAUGUAAGGUGCUUUCGAAGAGUCGAGUUGUUUGGGAAUGCAGCUCUAAGUGGGUGGUAAAUUCCAUCUAAAGCUAAAUAUUGGCGAGAGACCGAUAGCGAACAAGUACAGUGAUGGAAAGAUGAAAAGAACUUUGAAAAGAGAGUGAAAAAGUACGUGAAAUUGUUGAAAGGGAAGGGUUUGAGAUCAGACUCGAUA